CGGGUGAGUAAUGUAUGGGGAUCUGCCCGAUAGAGGGGGAUAACUACUGGAAACGGUGGCUAAUACCGCAUAAUGUCUACGGACCAAAGCAGGGGCUCUUCGGACCUUGCACUAUCGGAUGAACCCAUAUGGGAUUAGCUAGUAGGUGGGGUAAAGGCUCACCUAGGCGACGAUCUCUAGCUGGUCUGAGAGGAUGAUCAGCCACACUGGGACUGAGACUCGGCCCAGACUCCUACGGGAGGCAGCAUG
rnacentral:rRNA from 1 species